ensembl:lncRNA
AAAAGAAAGAAGAAUAAUGUAAUACGCACCAGAUGAAGUAUUUCUUAGAGGAUCCUGGAACAUGAACGAAAGAGAUAAAUUGAGAUAAUUAGCCAGACAUAAGAAUACAACAUCAGAUUAUAGCUAAAGUAUUAGCUUAUAUGGCAAUGAAGAUAGACCACAGAGCCUUCGAGAGAGGCCACGAUAGGCCGGACAGUGAGAGAGAGAGAGGCAGGCCACGAUAGGCCGGACAGUGAGAGAGAGAGAGGCAGGCCACGAUAGGCCGGACAGUGGGAGAGAGAGGCAGGCCACGAUAGGCCGGACAGUGAGAGAGAGAGGCAGGCCACGAUAGGCCGGACAGUGAGAGAGAGAGGCAGGCCACGAUAGGCCGGACAGUGAGAGAGACCACGAUAGGCCACGGAAAAAGCCCCGGCGGGCCACAGUGGUUAACGGCCCCGGCGGGCCACAGUGGGAACGGCCCCGGCGGGCAACAAAAGAAAGCCACGAAGACCACAGAGAAAAGGCCUAGCUAGGCCACAGAUGAGGAUGUCCAAAUGGACCAUAGUGAGAAAGCCAAGAGGCCGUAGAAUGAAAUGAAAUGCAGUAUGCACAGAGAGGAAGGCCAUGUAAUUAGACCACGGUGGGAACACCACGAGAUGGGUAACAGAGGGGAAGGCCACGAAAGACGGGCCACAAAAAGAAAGGACAAGUUAAGCCACAGUAAUCAGAGGUUGUUGGGAGUAAUAUGAAGAGGAAUUGUAC